GAUGAAGAACGUAGCGAAAUGCGAUAAGUAAUGUGAAUUGCAGAAUUCAGUGAAUCAUCGAAUCUUUGAACGCACAUUGCGCCCCCCAGUAUUCUGGCGGGCAUGCCUGUUCGAGCGUCAUUUCAACCAUCAAGCCCUGCUUGUGUUGGGGUCCUGCGGCUGCCCGCAGGCCCUGAAAACCAGUGGCGGGCUCGCUAGUCACACCGAGCGCAGUAGCACAUCUCGCUCAGGGCGUGCGGCGGGCUCCAGCCGUUAAAGCACCCACCUUUCGCAAGGUUGACCGCGGAUCAGGUAGGAAUACCCGCUGAACUUAAGCAUAUCAAUAAGCGGAGA
rnacentral:misc_RNA from 1 species